ACGUAAGUUGGUCAAUUGGC
rnacentral:miRNA from 1 species